GAUAGCGUGGCUGAGUGGUCAAAAGCGCUGGAUUUAGGCUCCAGUCAUUUCGAUGGUGUGAGUUCAAAUCCCACCGCUGCCA
rnacentral:tRNA from 1 species